rnacentral:lncRNA from 1 species
UGACGACCGGGGUCUCCCCCUUGGGUUCUGUUCAUGUGUCUGAUUUACCAGACACUGACCAAAUAGGGCAGGAAACUCCUCCGUCUGGGGGCUGCUCCAGAAAUCCAGCCCCCUCUAAUGACAGUCUCCUCGCCGCUCCCUACGUCUUUCCCUCUGCGGGGACCGUCCAGAAAACGGGGCUUGAGACCCAAAGGAGUCCGAGAGAAAAGGAGGGGGGUUGCUUAAUCCGAAAUGAACACCCCCGGGUUCUGGAAUCAGAGUGAGAGGCGCUGGCAAUGGACUAGGAAGCUCGGCUGCCGCUGCUACUGCUCCCCCCUGGGCUCCGGCGAGAGCCUUUCCCUGUCAAGCAAGAGGGCCAAGAAGGCAGGGCUGCCGGGGCUGCACAAGAAGAGGCAGCAGCCUCCUACAGCACCACUACAGGCACUGCGAGGACAUAACACCAGAGAGCCGCUCCUCUGCCCUCCGAAACGACAACUUUCCUACCAUCUUGGAGGCAGAGGAAAGGGGGGCCGGGGGGAAAAGUGCACCCGCUCCCGAUAA